GGCGUUGUGGCUCAGUGGUAGAGCGCUUGCCUAGCAUGCGUGAGGUACUGGGUUCGAUCCCUGGUACCA
rnacentral:tRNA from 1 species